UUCAAAUAAUUGCCUAGGGGAUGACGCUUGAGGUGGAGUAGGCUCAUCAUGAACCCUCUAGAAAUGUUUUUUGUGAUUUAGACUCCUUGUUCUAGAAUAGUCACAGAAAUCAUUAUAUACUUAACGUGGGAUAAAUGGCUCAGGCUCACUAAUUUGUGGAAACUAAUCUUUAACUUUUUGACUUGGAAGGAAGACAAUUCCGGAAAGGGUAGCAGUUACCAGCUUUCGCCCAUCCAGAACUGUAAAUCUUCUGAAAGACUCCUGUGACUGUCACCAUAACCUAUCCAGGGUCCCUUUGCCUAGAAGACCUGUCUACACUCAAAGCCGGGGCUUUGAUCAUUCUUCCAGUACAGUUGAAGCACCACCUUCUCUCUGAAGCUGGCCACCAUAUCCGCCGUCCCCCCAGGAAACAUGCAUCACCCGUCCUCUCUGUCUGUGCUACAUAGACUCAUGCUACAGCUCUCCUAUGGAAUUGAGGAAUUCUGCACAUGGUCCUGUAAGUCAUAUUCUACAGCAGUCUCAGAAAGCAUCUACCAUGGGGGAUGGAGAGAUGGCUCACUCACUGAUGAAGAAUGCUUGUAGUUCUUGUAGAGGACCUGAGUUCCGUUCCAAGCACCCACGUUGAAUAGCUCACAAUUGCCUGUAACUCCAGUUCCAGGGUGUCUGAAGUACUCUUCCAGCCUAUGUGGGCAUCUGCACACUGAUGCUCAUUAAUGUACACACACAUAUAUACACAUACACAUAACAAAUUAAUAAACUAAAUCCUUGAAACACACACGCACACACACACACGCACACACACACACCUGCCUAAUUGGGCUGUGAGAGACAAAAGGCUUCAUCGCUCACAAUUCACACUUUCAUGAAGACAGGCAACCAAGUUGAACAUCUUCAUGACCUACUAAUUAGAUGUUGUUUCAUUUGAGUCAUCCCUAAAGGAUAUUGCUGUGUAGCCCGAAACAUAAGCUUUCCAUUGCUUUGAUUCUAGGAUCAUCCCAGAUUAAAACUCAGCUUGCCUGCAUCUAGCAUGUGAAAUUGAGCUUCCUAGACCCCACUCCACAGCCCAGUUUUGUUUCCUCUAAGGCAAGUGAACUGGGACAAGCGACUGUACUACAGCUCUCUUUCUGGGUAGAGAUUCCUGAUACCUCCUUUGGAGAGUUUUGGUGAAGAAUAAAAGAGAUAUUAGGGGUCUAAUUACUGAUGAAAUGUUUACCUGUCAUGAACAAAGCCCUAGGUUCCAUCCUAGUGCCACAGACAGCCAGAAAGGUGCACAGAGAUAUUAUAUAUCUCCUGUAGACCUCUGACACUUUCUGGAAGUGGGACUUUCCUUCUUUUUUCAUUUUCAUUUGACAAAUAUGAUGUGGUCUUCUUCUUCUUCUUCUUC